UUUUUAAAUUACUGAGGACCCCUUCCAUUGACAUGAUUGCACGGAACCACAAGCCGGCUUCUUUUCUGGAAUGGGUCCUCAGAUUUGGAGGUUAACGUUCGAAGACAGAGCAGAGCUGAUGCUUCCCGAGCCUGGACCGGUGGACAGGAGGCUGUG